UAUUGGCUCAAGUAAUAAAUCAUACAGCUGGGAAGGACAGUACCAUUACCACCUUACUUAUUACCCAACCAACUUUAAAUUUUGAUACCUAAUUUGUUUGUUUUGGUGAUGUAUGUGUUGAUAGAACAUGUGGGGGAUAAGGCGCAUCCUUAUGCACAUGGUGCUGCAGUAAUUUGGCCCCACGAAUUGAAUAAAGUCAC
rnacentral:lncRNA from 1 species